UUGGCUUGCUUGAUGCUGGACGAUUAAUGAAGGAAGCCCUAACUGGACAAAUGUUGGUCUCCUGAGACAAUGUGUUGUUGAUAACAGAAAAGGAUUGACAAUAAGAUGUGGAUGUUCAUCUUUAAUGAACUCUAGUCACCAAGUGGAAGCCAGCUAAGUUUGACGAUGCAAUUGACCACCUUCCCAGCAACAGCUGAAUAUUUCCUCCUCAAGAUGGUAAUGUUGUAUUCAUAGAUAAUAUGA